UACGGGGGGGGGUAAGCGUUGUUCGGAAUUACUGGGCGUAAAGGGCUCGUAGGCGGCCAACUAAGUCAGACGUGAAAUCCCUCAGCUUAACUGGGUGAACUGCGUCUGAUACUGGAUGGCUUGGAUUUGGGAGAGGGAUGCGGAAUUCCAGGUGUAGCGGUGAAAUGCGUAGAUAUCGGGAGGAACACCUGUGGCGAAAGCGGCUCACUGGACCACAACUGACGCUGAGGCGCGAAAGCUAGGGGAGCAAACAGG
rnacentral:rRNA from 1 species